UUGGCGGCUCCCAAGAUGGCGUCCAUCAUGGAAGGGCCGCUGAGUAAAUGGACUAACGUAAUGAAGGGGUGGCAGUACCGUUGGUUCGUGCUGGACUACAAUGCCGGCCUGCUCUCCUACUACACGUCGAAGGACAAAAUGAUGAGAGGCUCUCGCAGAGGAUGUGUUAGACUCAGAGUGAGUAUUUAUUCAUUUUUAUGAAAACCAAUUUUGUCAGAAAAAAAAAAUUUUUUUGACAGACUCAUGGUAGUCUAAACUUAAGUUUAGCUUUGUUACUUAAUUAUUGGCAUUGGCAGCUAAAGGCUCAGAGGAAAAAAUUUCUCCAGGGUAACUCCAGAACCAGGACUAGAAUUCAGUUCUUUUGGCCUGUGAUUUAAUGUCAUAUCCAUAACUUAAUGCACCUACUGACUUUUUUAACCUCUGUUUAACAUCAAGGACAGGGGUUGGAAAUUAAAUGGGUUGUUCAGUAGAGCGAACAGUAGAAAAAAAUUCUGAAAAGUCCCCACUUUUAACUGCUUACUGCUGUUCAGCACUAUUUAGUCAUGGUUUUUCUAGCAGGAUGUGCAGGAUGUGAGCCAUAUAUAUAAUUAAAAUAUUUUGUAGUAGUCACAUUUAAAAGUAAAAAGCAGAUGAAAUUCAUUUUAAUAAGUAAUUUAUUUUAUUUAUGCCAUUAUAUCCAGAACAUUAUUUAGUCAUGUAGUCAUCAUGUAGUCAGUAAAAAAAUUUAUUGAGGUAUUUUGUAUAUAUAUUUUUUCCAUAUAGGUCUUUGAAAUCCAGUAUAUCCUUUGCAUUUGUGGCACAUCUUGGUUCAGACUUAUAGGACAGUGCAGGCCUGGAGCUUCAAGUCUUUUUUUGUUUUUUGUUUUUUUUAGGGCUCACCCGUGGCAAAUGGAAGUUCCUAGGCUAAGGGUUGGCAGAUCCAACCUACAUCUGCAACCUACACCGCAGCUCACAGCAAUGCCAGAUCCUUAACCCACUGAGGGAGGCCAGGAAUUGAACCCGUGUUCUCCUGAAUACUAGCUGGGUUCAUUAUGCUCAGCCACAACAGGAACUCUCUCAAAUUGCUUUUGAUUGCUUGUUCAUUGUCCACCAUUGUCCAAAUAGGUAAAGGCAAGAAAGAAUGCAGGGUUGGAGAUACAGUUUCUAGUACUCCCCUGUAUCUAAAGAAGGGUCUAUCUCUGUCAUAAUUAGGUAACUCAGCUUCUCAUGGCCUUCACUUCUGGUCCCUGUUUUCUUUCACCCAACUUUUUUCUGUACCCUUAGUUUUAAAGACGUAAAUAUAUUUGGUAAACACAUGAUGGCCUUUAUUAGCAUAGUUAAUUAGUAGAGAUGGGAAAUAACAGGCAGAAACUAAAUUCUAAAGGAAAAAUCUUGGCACCAAGAUAGGAGUAAGUAUGGCGAAUUUGCAGGAUGAAAAUUAGGCCUGUUUUGAACGGAUGGGGUAUAUGUGAUAGCAUAAAGAUUUUUGAAAAUUCAGCUCAUUAUACUGUUUACUGUUAUUUCCUUUCCUUUGGUUUGUCUUUUGCCUUCUUGGUUUGACGCUUUUCUAAGCACUUGCCAUUGACCUCAGUCCCCACUCAAUCUGAUAUUAACUGCUUUCUUGGCUUGAGAGAAACUCAAUAGUGAGACUUUGGCAGAGCUGUGGUGAGACAGCUCUUAAAUCGAAUUCAAUCUGGAUUCAGGCCACUGUCUCAUUGUUACAUUUAAUGCACUGUUAUUUUCUUUCAAAUAUGGCUUAAUUAUUAACUUUCAUGACUACCAUCUAGGUUAAGAAACAGAAUUUAGCCAGUUACCCUAGAAUCCUCUCUAUGUGCCUCAUUCAAAUUGCAGCCUGGGGAGUUCCUGCUGUGGCUUAGCGGGUAAAGAAUCCGACUGGUAUCCAUGACGAUGCAGGUUUGAUCCUUGGGCUUGCUCAGUGGGUUAAGGAUUCAGCGUUGCCAUUGAGCUAUGACGUAGGUUGCAGAUACAGCUUGGAUGUGGCUGUGGCUAUGGCGUAGGCUGGAAGUUGCAGCUCUGAUUGACCCCUAGGUUAGGAACUUCCAUACGCCAUAGGUGCUGCCCUAAAAAGAGCAACAACAGCAACAAAGCUCACUCUGUGUCUCCAAAAGUAACCACUAUUCUUUUAUAGAACUAACUUCUUGACUUUGCAUUCCUCAAUUCUGUAUUUUGUCUUGCCCAUUUAAAAAAAAACUUGAUAUCUUUUGUUUGUAAUUUAUCUGUUGAAGAAUCCAGACCCUUUGAUCUACAGAUGGAGAUGGAGUUUUCCAUUGUAUAGACUUUACUGAUUGCAUACUGGUGCAUUUUUGCAUGUUCCUCUGUCUCUGCUUUUCCUGCACAUUGGCCGCUGGAUCCAGAGACUAGAUCAGACUUAGAUUUGAUUUCCUUUGGCAAGACUAUAGGCGGUGUUGUGUUCUUUUAUCGUGCACAUCAUAUCUGAAUUUUGCUUUUCAUUGAUAUUAUCAACUAUAAAUGCUCAGUACCUAGAUUCAUUUGGGGUUUGUAAAAUUCCAGUGUUUUAUCAUUUUGUUUUAACUUUUAUCUUUAUAAGGAAAUAUUUCUCUUUGUCUAUUACUUGGUUACCCAGUGAUACAGUGCAAAUAGGAUAAAUAAACGCUUAUUUCUUUUUACCUACUUAACUUUCAGGAUUAUAAACAACACCGUGUGUGUGUUUGUGUGUAUCCAAAAGAAAUGAAAGCACAGACUUCAACAGAUAUUUGUAUACUGAUGUUUGAAGAAGCAUUACAAUCACUUAAGAGGUAGAAGCAGCCCUGUGUCCAUUUGAUGGUUGAAUAGAUAAAAUGAAAUAUACAUACAAUGAAAUAUUGUGUAGUUUUGAAGGAAAUUCUUUAAGGACAUUAUCCUAAGUGAAAUAAGCCAUUCACAAAAAGAGAAAUACUUUGUGAUUCUACUUAUCUGAGGUACCUAGAGUAAUCGAAUCAGUGGAAAAAGAAAGCGGAAUGGUGGUUUCCAGGGGUUGAGGAGAGGGGGAUUAGAGGUUUCUUGUUUAAUGGGUACAGAGUUUCAGUUUGAGAAGAUGAAAAAGUUCUGACGAUGGCUGUUAUGGUGGGUGCACAGUAAUGUGAAUGUACUUAAUGGUUCUAAACUGAACACUUGAACAUUUUAAGUGGUAAAUUUUAUGUUAGGUAUGUUUUGCUACAAUUGAAAAGCCCCCACCCACUUAUUAUAUCUUACAGUUCUGUAGCUCAGACACCUCAGAAAUGUUCUCUCCUUCAGGUUGAAAUCAAGAUAUAGGCCAUGCCGGGCCCUUAUGUGGAGGACAUGGGGGAGGCUCCAAGGGAGAGCUGGUUUCCAGGCUCAUUCACAUUGUUGGCGGAAUUCAGUUUCUUGUGGUUACAGGACUGAGGGCCCCGUUUUCUUGCUGGCUGUCAGCUUGAGAUCUGCUCUCAACUUGGAGAGGCUGCACAUACUCCACAUGUGUCUGCAGCCUCCAUCAUGGUGCAUGGCAUCCUCGUGGUGCUUUAAGUCUCUCUGACUUCUCAUUUCUCUUAUCAGCUGCAGAAAACAUUGUGCUUUUAAAAAAGGCCUCACAUGAUUAAAAUAAGUUACACCCACCAGAUAAUCUCCCUUUUGCCAUAUAAUAUAUCGCUUGAGUGAUAAGUCAUCCUGUAACAUAGUCACGGCAGUGACGUCUCACCAUAUUUAUGGUUUACGCUCAUACUCAGAAGGGAGGAAAUAGUGGAGGGGCAGGGUCACUUUGGAGGGGUUUGUUUUAGAAUUCUGUCUACCACACAGCGUGACAGGAAAUAGACAAACCUGUUUUUGAAUCUUAUUUUUGCCCUUUGCUUUGUUGACUGGAAGAAGGAGGCUGUAAGCUUCCUGAGCUUUAGUUUUCUCUCCUUUAAAGUAGGGAUUAUAACAUCCAUGCAGACUUUUGUGAGGAUUAGGCACCUGGCACAUCGAUGGAUGCUGUUAAUUAGUAUUGUGUAUGUGUCUAAGAGGCUUUAUGGUGUUUUUUAAAAUUUGGACUGCCAUUUGACUUUCUAUUUAAGAAGCAUCUGGAGAAUUAGUUUGCAAUAUAGGUUCUCAAGUUCCACUGUGUGUGUGUGUGUGUAAUUUUAGGGCCACACCCAUAGCAUAUGGAAGUACCCAGGCUAGGGAUCAAAUGGGAGCUGUAGCUGCCGACCUACACUACAGCAACAUGGGAUCCGAGCCAUGUCUGCGACCUACACCACAACUCAUGGCAAUGCUGGAUCCUUAAUGCACUGAGCGAGGCCAGGGAUUGAACUUGCAUCCUCAUGGAUACUAGUUGGGUUCGUUAUCACUGAGCCAUGAUGAGAACUCCUAGAUAUAUUUUAGAACAGGGUCUGGAGCCUUUACUUUUUUAUUUUUCAUUUUUCAUUUUUUGUCUUUUUAGGGCCACACCCAUGGCAUAUGGAGGUUCCCAGGCUAGGGGUCGAAUUGGAGCUGUAGCUGCCAGCCUACUCCAUAGCCAUAGCAAUGCAGGAUCCUAGCCAUGGGUGCGACCUACACCACAGCUCACGGCAACGCCAGAUCAUUAACCCACUGAGCAAGGCCAGGGAUCAAACCUGCAACCUCAUGGUUCCUAGUCGGAUUCGUUAACCACUGAGCCAUGAUGGGAACUCCUGGAGCCUUUAUGUUUUAAACAGAUUCUCCAGGUGUUGUACAGCCACAUUUGAGACCACUGGUAUAGUGGAAAGAGAGAGACCUGGGGGUGAACGUCAUUUGGCUCCACCACUUACUGACUCUGUGCCUUUAGGCAAGUUUCUUAACCUCUAUGAAGAUAACAUUAGAUGACUUGCAGGGUUGUGAGGUUUAGCAAUUGUGUGUUAGAGUUUGGCACAUAGUACACAUCUAAUAAGUGAUAACUGCUAUGAACGAUGCUGCUGCUGAUGGCAAUGGUGGUGAUAGAUAAUGUACCUAAUGUCCAGAUUCCAAAUGAGCUUAUAUCAAGAAUGUUCUGGAGUUCCCGUCGUGGUGCAGUGGAUAACGAAUCCGACUAGGAACAAUGAGGUUACGGGUUCGGUCCCUGCCCUUGCUCAGUGGGUUAAC
rnacentral:lncRNA from 1 species